UACGUAGGGGGCUAGCGUUGUUCGGAUUUACUGGGCGUAAAGCGCACGUAGGCGGAUCGAUCAGUCAGGGGUGAAAUCCCAGAGCUCAACUCUGGAACUGCCUUUGAUACUGUCGAUCUGGAGUAUGGAAGAGGUGAGUGGAAUUCCGAGUGUAGAGGUGAAAUUCGUAGAUAUUCGGAGGAACACCAGUGGCGAAGGCGGCUCACUGGGCCAAUACUGACGCUGAGGAGCGAAAGCGUGGGGAGCGAACAGG
rnacentral:rRNA from 1 species